UAGGGAAUCUUCGGCAAUUGUGGGGCAACCCUGACCGAGCAACGCCGCGUGAGUGAAGAAGGUUUUCGGAUCGUAAAGCUCUGUUGUAAGAGAAGAACGAGUGUGAGAGUGGAAAGUUCACACUGUGACGGUAACUUACCAGAAAGGGACGGCUAACUACGUGCCAGCAGCCGCGGUAAUACGUAGGUCCCGAGCGUUAUCCGGAUUUAUUGGGCGUAAAGCGAGCGCAGGCGGUUAGAUAAGUCUGAAGUUAAAGGCUGUGGCUUAACCAUAGUACGCUUUGGAAACUGUUUAACUUGAGUGCAAGAGGGGAGAGUGGAAUUCCAUGUGUAGCGGUGAAAUGCGUAGAUAUAUGGAGGAACACCGGUGGCGAAAGCGGCUCUCUGGCUUGUAACUGACGCUGAGGCUCGAAAGCGUGGGGAGCAAACAGGAUUAGAUACCCUGGUAGUCCACGCCGUAAACGAUGAGUGCUAGGUGUUAGACCCUUUCCGGGGUUUAGUGCCGUAGCUAACGCAUUAAGCACUCCGCCCUGGGGAGUACGACCGCAAGGUUG
rnacentral:rRNA from 1 species